UUUGGUCGUAGACCCGAAACCAGGUGAUCUACCCUUGGUCAGGUUGAAGUUCAGGUAACACUGAAUGGAGGACCGAACCGACUUACGUUGAAAAGUGAGCGGAUGAACUGAGGGUAGCGGAGAAAUUUCAAUCGAACCUGGAGAUAGCUGGUUCUCUCCGAAAUAGCUUUAGGGCUAGCCUCAAGUGAUGAUUAUUGGAGGUAGAGCACUGUUUGGACGAGGGGCCCCUCUCGGGUUACCGAAUUCAGACAAACU
rnacentral:rRNA from 1 species